GAGCUUGCUCCUUUGACGUUAGCGGCGGACGGGUGAGUAACACGUGGGUAACCUACCUAUAAGACUGGAAUAACUCCGGGAAACCGGGGCUAAUGCCGGAUAACAUGUUGAACCGCAUGGUUCAACAGUGAAAGACGGUCUUGCUGUCACUUAUAGAUGGACCCGCGCCGUAUUAGCUAGUUGGUAAGGUAACGGCUUACCAAGGCGACGAUACGUAGCCGACCUGAGAGGGUGAUCGGCCACACUGGAACUGAGACACGGUCCAGACUCCUACGGGAGGCAGCAGUAGGGAAUCUUCCGCAAUGGGCGAAAGCCUGACGGAGCAACGCCGCGUGAGUGAUGAAGGUCUUCGGAUCGUAAAGCUCUGUUGUUAGGGAAGAACAUAUGUGUAAGUAACUGUGCACAUCUUGACGGUACCUAACCAGAAAGCCACGGCUAACUACGUGCCAGCAGCCGCGGUAAUACGUAGGUGGCAAGCGUUAUCCGGAAUUAUUGGGCGUAAAGCGCGCGUAGGCGGUUUUUUAAGUCUGAUGUGAAAGCCCACGGCUCAACCGUGGAGGGUCAUUGGAAACUGGAAAACUUGAGUGCAGAAGAGGNAAAGUGGNAAUUCCAUGUGUAGCGGUGAAAAUGCGCAGAGAUAUGGAGGAACACCAGUGGCGAAGGCGGCUUUCUGGUCUGUAACUGACGCUGAGGUGCGAAAGCGUGGGGAUCAAACAGGAUUAGAUACCCUGGUAGUCCACGCCGUAAACGAUGAGUGCUAAGUGUUAGGGGGUUUCCGCCCCUUAGUGCUGCAGCUAACGCAUUAAGCACUCCGCCUGGGGAGUACGGUCGCAAGACUGAAACUCAAAGGAAUUGACGGGGACCCGCACAAGCGGUGGAGCAUGUGGUUUAAUUCGAAGCAACGCGAAGAACCUUACCAAAUCUUGACAUCUUUUGACCGCUCUAGAGAUAGAGUUUUCCUCUUCGGAGGACAAAAUGACAGGUGGUGCAUGGUUGUCGUCAGCUCGUGUCGUGAGAUGUUGGGUUAAGUCCCGCAACGAGCGCAACCCUUAAGCUUAGUUGCCAUCAUUAAGUUGGGCACUCUAAGUUGACUGCCGGUGACAAACCGGAGGAAGGUGGGGAUGACGUCAAAUCAUCAUGCCCCUUAUGAUUUGGGCUACACACGUGCUACAAUGGACAAUACAAAGGGCAGCGAAACCGCGAGGUCAAGCAAAUCCCAUAAAGUUGUUCUCAGUUCGGAUUGUAGUCUGCAACUCGACUACAUGAAGCUGGAAUCGCUAGUAAUCGUAGAUCAGCAUGCUACGGUGAAUACGUUCCCGGGUCUUGUACACACCGCNCGUCACACCACGAGAGUUUGUAACACCCGAAGCCGGUGGAGU
rnacentral:rRNA from 1 species